AUGAAUGAAUGUUUCGUGAGCAGCUCACUGAAGGAGGUCAAUUAUGAUUUUACCAACAGUUGGAGAUACUUGCUUAUUCUGAAUUCACAGAGUUUCAUUCGUUUCAAUACUAUGAUUGUCGCUCUCACUAUGCCUAACUGCAUUGGGAGUAUCAUCCUCUUUGAUUGUCUUGCACUGCAGAAUUGUUGUACAGAACAAAUUUAUAGGUGGUAUAAGUUGUUUCUCCUCUUAACUAUGUAUAUAUGGAACAAUGAUCACACAUAUUACCUUGAACUAUAUUCUCUUCACAUUUAUGCAUAUAUUUUCUAG
rnacentral:rRNA from 1 species